rnacentral:rRNA from 1 species
GAUGAACGCUGGCGGCGUGCUUAACACAUGCAAGUCGAACGGAAAGGCCAGUGCUUGCACUGGUACUCGAGUGGCGAACGGGUGAGUAACACGUGGGUGAUCUGCCCUGCACUUCGGGAUAAGCCUGGGAAACUGGGUCUAAUACCGGAUAGGACAAUGGUUUGGAUGCCGUCGUGGAAAGUUUUUUCGGUGUGGGAUGAGCUCGCGGCCUAUCAGCUUGUUGGUGGGGUAAUGGCCUACCAAGGCGUCGACGGGUAGCCGGCCUGAGAGGGUGUACGGCCACAUUGGGACUGAGAUACGGCCCAGACUCCUACGGGAGGCAGCAGUGGGGAAUAUUGCACAAUGGGCGCAAGCCUGAUGCAGCGACGCCGCGUGGGGGAUGACGGCCUUCGGGUUGUAAACUCCUUUCGCUAGGGACGAAGCGUAUUUGUGACGGUACCUGGAGAAGAAGCACCGGCUAACUACGUG